rnacentral:miRNA from 1 species
UUUAUACGUCGAAUUUUGGUCGCGUCGAAUGCAAUUCAAACAAUAGAUAAUGAGAUGAUAAACCUCAUUAAGCUUCAUUAUCUAUUGUUUGAAUUGCAUUCGACGCGACCGAAAUUCGACGUAUAAA